rnacentral:rRNA from 1 species
UACAUGGGGUGCAAACGUUGCUCGGAAUUAUUGGGCGUAAAGCGCGCGUAGGCGGAUCUGCAAGUCGGGGGUGAAAUCCCGAGGCUCAACCUCGGAACUGCCUUCGAUACUGCGGGUCUCGAGUCCGGGAGAGGUGAGUGGAAUUCCUAGUGUAGAGGUGAAAUUCGUAGAUAUUAGGAAGAACACCAGUGGCGAAGGCGGCUCACUGGCCCGGUACUGACGCUGAGGUGCGAAAGCGUGGGGAGCAAACAGG